UAUACGCCCUUCGGGGGAAAGAUUUAUCGGAUUUGGAUCGGCCCGCGUUAGAUUAGAUAGUUGGUGGGGUAACGGCCUACCAAGUCUACGAUCUAUAGCUGGUUUUAGAGGAUGAUCAGCAACACUGGGACUGAGACACGGCCCAGACUCCUACGGGAGGCAGCAGUGGGGAAUCUUGGACAAUGGGCGCAAGCCUGAUCCAGCCAUGCCGCGUGAGUGAUGAAGGCCUUAGGGUCGUAAAGCUCUUUCGCCUGUGAAGAUAAUGACGGUAGCAGGUAAAGAAACCCCGGCUAACUCCGUGCCAGCAGCCGCGGUAAUACGGAGGGGGUUAGCGUUGUUCGGAAUUACUGGGCGUAAAGCGCACGUAGGCGGACUGGAAAGUUGGGGGUGAAAUCCCAGGGCUCAACCCUGGAACUGCCUCCAAAACUAUCAGUCUAGAGUUCGAGAGAGGUGAGUGGAAUUCCGAGUGUAGAGGUGAAAUUCGUAGAUAUUCGGAGGAACACCAGUGGCGAAGGCGGCUCACUGGCUCGAUACUGACGCUGAGGUGCGAAAGUGUGGGG
rnacentral:rRNA from 1 species